CACGUAGGGCGCAAGCGUUGUCCGGAAUUAUUGGGCGUAAAGAGCUCGUAGGUGGUCUGUUGCGUCCGCUGUGAAAACUCGGGGCUUAACCCCGAGCCUGCAGUGGAUACGGGCAGACUAGAGGUAGGUAGGGGAGAAUGGAAUUCCUGGUGUAGCGGUGAAAUGCGCAGAUAUCAGGAGGAACACCGGUGGCGAAGGCGGAUCUCUGGGCCAGUACUGACACUGAGGAGCGAAAGCGUGGGUAGCAAACAGG
rnacentral:rRNA from 1 species